CCCUUAGACGUUCUGGGCCGCACGCGCGCUACACUGACCAAUGCAACGAGCUUAUAACCUUGGCCGAAAGGUCUGGGUAAUCUCCAAAUUUCGUCGUGAUGGGGAUAGAUUAUUGCAAUUAUUAAUCUUCAACGAGGAAUGCCUAGUAAGCGCAAGUCAUCAGCUUGCGUUGAUUACGUCCCUGCCCUUUGUACACACCGCCCGUCGCUCCUACCGAUUGAAUGGUCCGGUGAAGCGUUCGGACCGUGGCCUUUGGACGGUUCGCCGUCUGUUGGCUGCGGGAAGUUCGUUAAACCUUAUCAUUUAGAGGAAGGAGAANUCGUAACA
rnacentral:rRNA from 1 species